GACGAACGCUGGCGGCGUGCCUAAUACAUGCGAGUUGAGCGAUGAAGCUUGGUGCUUGCACCAAUUUGAAGAGCAGCGAACGGGUGAGUAACGCGUGGGGAAUCUGCCUUUGAGCGGGGGACAACAUUUGGAAACGAAUGCUAAUACCGCAUAACAACUUUAAACAUAAGUUUUAAGUUUGAAAGAUGCAAUUGCAUCACUCAAAGAUGAUCCCGCGUUGUAUUAGCUAGUUGGUGAGGUAAAGGCUCACCAAGGCGAUGAUACAUAGCCGACCUGAGAGGGUGAUCGGCCACAUUGGGACUGAGACACGGCCCAAACUCCUACGGGAGGCAGCAGUAGGGAAUCUUCGGCAAUGGACGAAAGUCUGACCGAGCAACGCCGCGGGAGUGAAGAAGGGUUUCGGAUCGUAAAACUCUGUUGGUAGAGAAGAACGUUGGUGAGAGUGGAAAGCUCAUCAAGUGACGGUAACUACACAGAAAGGGACGGCUAACUACGUG
rnacentral:rRNA from 1 species